rnacentral:hammerhead_ribozyme from 1 species
AUCCAGCUGACGAGUCCUAAAUAGGAUGAAAUGUGCAUCCUGGAU